AUUGAACGCUGGCGGCAUGCUUUACACAUGCAAGUCGAACGGUAACAGGGAGCUUGCUCCGCUGACGAGUGGCGAACGGGUGAGUAAUGCGUCGGAACGUGCCGAGUAGUGGGGGAUAACGCAUCGAAAGGUGUGCUAAUACCGCAUACGUACUGAGGUAGAAAGUGGGGGACCUUCGGGCCUCACGCUAUUCGAGCGGCCGACGUCUGAUUAGCUAGUUGGUGAGGUAAAGGCUCACCAAGGCGACGAUCAGUAGCGGGUCUGAGAGGAUGAUCCGCGACACUGGGAGUGAGACACGGCCCAGACUCCUACGGGAGGCAGCAGUGGGGAAUUUUGGACAAUGGGCGAGAGCCUGAUCCAGCCAUGCCGCGUGUCUGAAGAAGGCCUUCGGGUUGUAAAGGACUUUUGUCGGGGAGGAAAUCCCCAGCGCUAAUACCGCUGGGGGAUGACAGUACCUGAAGAAUAAGCACCGGCUAACUACGUGCCAGCCGCCGCAGUAACAC
rnacentral:rRNA from 1 species